UUCAGUGAUCCUAUGCUGCCGAGAAAAGCCUCUAAUGAGUUCAUACACGGCCCAUACCCCAAACCGACACAGGUGAUCAGGUAGAGAAUACCAAGGCGAUCGAGAGAACUGUGGUUAAGGAACUCGGCAAAAUGCCCCCGUAACUUCGGGAGAAGGGGGACCAUGCCCGGUGAACAUCUUCACGGUGGGAGCUGGGUGUGGUCGCAGAGACCAGAGAGAAGCGACUGUUUACUAAAAACACAGGUCCGUGCGAAGACGUAUGUCGAUGUAUACGGACUGACGCCUGCCCGGUGCUGGAAGGUUAAGAGGACCGGUUAGCCGUAAGGCGAAGCUGAGAAUUUAAGCCCCAGUAAACGGCGGUGGAACUAUAACCAUCCUAAGGUAGCGAAAUUCCUUGUCGGGUAAGUUCCGACCUGCACGAAUGGCGUAACGACUUCUCUGCUGUCUCGACCACAGACUCGGCGAAAUUGCACUACGAGUAAAGAUGCUCGUUACGCGCGGCAGGACGAAAAGACCCCGGGACCUUUACUAUAGCUUGGUAUUGGCGUUCGAUUCGGUUUGUGUAGGAUAGGUGGGAGACUGUGAAGCAUGCACGCCAGUGUGUGUGGAGUCGUUGUUGAAAUACCACUCUGAUCGUAUUGGACGUCUAACCUCGGCCCAUGAUCUGGGUUAGGGACAGUGCCUGGUGGGUAGUUUAACUGGGGCGGUUGCCUCCUAAAGAGUAACGGAGGCGCCCAAAGGUUCCCUCAGCCUGGAUGGCAAUCAGGUGUUGAGUGCAAGUGCACAAGGGAGCUUGACUGUGAGACUGACACGUCGAGCAGGGACGAAAGUCGGGACUAGUGAUCCGGCACCGGCAAGUGGAAGCGGUGUCGCUCAACGGAUAAAAGGUACCCCGGGGAUAACAGGCUGAUCUUCCCCAAGAGUCCAUAUCGACGGGAUGGUUUGGCACCUCGAUGUCGGCUCGUCGCAUCCUGGGGCUGGAGUAGGUCCCAAGGGUUGGGCUGUUCGCCCAUUAAAGCGGCACGCGAGCUGGGUUUAGAACGUCGUGAGACAGUUCGGUCUCUAUCCGCCGCGCGCGUAAGAAACUUGAGGAAGGCUGUCCCUAGUACGAGAGGACCGGGACGGACGAACCUCUGGUGUGCCAGUUGUUCCACCAGGAGCAUGGCUGGUUAGCUACGUUCGGAAGGGAUAACCGCUGAAAGCAUCUAAGCGGGAAGCCCGUUCCAAGAUGAGGUUUCUCACCACCUUGCGUGGUUAAGGCCCCCUACAGACCAUGGGGUUGAUAGGCCGGAACUGGAAGCGCAGCAAUGCGUGGAGGUGACCGGUACUAAUAGGCCGAGGGCC
rnacentral:rRNA from 1 species